rnacentral:rRNA from 1 species
CCUACGGGAGGCAGCAGUGGGGGAUAUUGCACAAUGGGGGGAACCCUGAUGCAGCGACGCCGCGUGGGUGAAGAAGCGCCUCGGCGCGUAAAGCCCUGUCAGCAGGGAAGAAAAUGACGGUACCUGAAGAAGAAGCCCCGGCUAACUACGUGCCAGCAGCCGCGGUAAUACGUAGGGGGCAAGCGUGAUCCGGAUUUACUGGGUGUAAAGGGGGCGCAGACGGCGAUGCAAGCCAGGAGUGAAAGCUCGGGGCCCAACCCCGGGACUGCGCUUGGAACUGCGUGGCUGGAGUGCAGGAGGGGCAGGCGGAAGGCGUGGUGUAGCGGGGAAAUGCGUAGAUAUCAGGAGGAACACCGGUGGCGAAGGCGGCCGGCUGGACUGCAACUGACGUUGAGGCCCGAAAGCGUGGGGAGCAAACAGGAGUAGAUACCCCGGUAGUC